UAUAUAUAUGUAGUCAAUUGGAUUUGGUGGUUGCUUGGAUGAUUUCAUCAUCUAGUUCCUAAUUAUUUUUUCAGUGUGUAAUGGUCCUCUUGGAAACAAUUACUAUUCCUUUUGAGCAGUUCAAUUUAGCUGAUGCCAGGUGGUGUGGAAUCUCAAGUUUGACAAUUAGAAUAUUCUUAAGGAAACAAAACUUGAGAAACAAUCUGCUAAAACCUCCGUCAAAUUUGGUGCGGGAGAACCCAUAAAGACCCAAAUUGAGAAACAAAAUGAUAAAACAGUUAUGCCAUCAGAUGCUCGUGUUCGGCAUCUUAAAGAUCAGCUUAUCCAGGGAAGGGUGUACCUUUCCCUUACAGCUACAAGAAACAAUCCCCACUUUAUAAGGGAGCUUUGGCUACGGAUGAAGGAAGCUCAACGAUCACUUGGGGAAGCAAUCAAGGACUCUGAACUACCAAGGAAGUAAGUCUUCUCUCUUUAUAUUGUUGUUGCCAUUUGCUUGUAAAGUAGUCUAGCUUCGGGUCCACAAGAAGCAGACCUUGUUUCUAACGCACUUGACUGCAAAAACACUACCUAAAGGUCUUCACUGUCUUCCCUUGCGCCUUUCAACCGAGUACUUUAGUUUGAAUUCUUCAGAGCGGAACUUUCACAAUCAAGAGAAACUAGAAGACCCUAGGUUGUACCACUAUGCACUAUU